rnacentral:rRNA from 1 species
AUUGAACGCUGGCGGCAUGCCUUACACAUGCGAGUCGAACGGCAGCACGGGUGCUUGCACCUGGUGGCGAGUGGCGAACGGGUGAGUAAUAGAUCGGAACCUGUCUUGUCGUGGGGGAUAGGCCGGCGAAAGCCGGAUUAAUACCGCAUACGCUCUACGGCUGCAAGCGGGGGACGUUCGUGUUCCGCGCUUUAGGGUUGGCCGAUGGCUGAUUAGCUAGUUGGUGGGGUAAAGGCCUACCAAGGCGACGAUCAGUAGCUGGUCUGAGAGGAUGACCAGCCACACUGGAACUGAGACACGGCCCAGACUCCUACGGGAGGCAGCAGUGGGGAAUAUUGGACAAUGGGCGAAAGCCUGAUCCAGCAAUGCCGCGUGUGUGAAGAAGGCCUUCGGGUUGUAAAGCACUUUUGUCCGGAAAGAAAACCAUGGCCCUAAUACGGUCCGGGGAUGACGGUACCCGAAGAAUAAGCACCGGCUAACUACGUG